rnacentral:rRNA from 1 species
CCCACGAAGCUGGAUUCGCUAGUAAUCGCGCAUCAGCCAUGGCGCGGUGAAUACGUUCCCGGGCCUUGUACACACCGCCCGUCAAGCCAUGAAAGCCGGGGGUGCCUGAAGUUCGUAACCGCAAGGAGCGACCUAGGGCAAAACUGGUGAUUGGGGCUAAGUCGUAACAAGGUAGCCGUACCGGAAGGUGCGGCUGGAACACCUCCUUUCUGGAG